AUGCCUUCAAUCUGGCCAAGACAAGCAUGGAGGCUCAUUCAAAACCCAGCUUCCUUAUGUGUGCAGGUCCUGUCAGCAAGAUACUACUCAGAUGGCUCAACUCUUGAAGCCAGGCCUAGAAGCGGCAUAUCCUACACAUGGCGCGGUAUACUAAAAGGAGUAGAUCUGCUCAAGAAGGGGAUCAUAUGGAGAGUAGGCAGUGGUAGCAACAUCAAUAUUUGGUCUGAUCCCUGGAUUCCAAGAGGAUGUACUAGGAGAGUCAUCACACAGAGGGGUGGAAAUGCUAUAAUUAAAGUAAAUGAUUUGAUUGAUCCUACCACAAACAAUUGGGAUGAAGACUUAGUUAGACAAACCUUUCUCCCUGAAGAUGCAAAUAUUAUUCUACAAAUCCCAAUUCAUACACAUGAUGGUGAUUUUAUAGCAUGGCAUUAUGAUAAAAAAGAUGAAGAUACAUGUGGUUUCAAUUGGCCAAAGUUGUGGUCGCUUCCCCUCCCCAACAAGGUUCUUCAAUUCUUGUGUGGCGCAGGUCCACAAAUACCUUACCGCUGCGUAUGA
rnacentral:rRNA from 1 species